rnacentral:rRNA from 2 species
UGGUUGGACAAAAAGUAAGCUGUCUCGGUUAUAAUAAUUGAACUUAACUUUUAAGUGAAAAGGCUUAAAUGUUUCAGGGGGACGAUAAGACCCUAUAAAGCUUGACAAUAAUUUCGUUAUAUUAUAAAUUGUUAGUAUAACUUGAUUUUAACGGGAGUUUGUUUCGUUGGGGCGACGGGAAUAUAAUAAAUAACUGUUCUUUUAAAUAUAAUUACAAAAAUACUUGGUAAAUAAUUGAUCCUCUAUUAGAGAUUAAAAGAUUAAGUUACUUUAGGGAUAACAGCGUAAUCUUCUUUGAG